UACGAAGGGGGCGAGCGUUGUUCGGAUUUACUGGGCGUAAAGGGCGCGUAGGCGGCGCAACAAGUCAGGCGUGAAAGCCCCGGGCUCAACCUGGGAGGUGCGCUUGGGACUGUUGGGCUUGAGUUCGGGAGAGGAGCGUGGAAUUCCCAGUGUAGAGGUGAAAUUCGUAGAUAUUGGGAAGAACACCGGUGGCGAAGGCGGCGCUCUGGGAAUGUCCUGACGCUGAGGAGCGAAAGUGUGGGGAGCGAACAGG
rnacentral:rRNA from 1 species